ensembl:lncRNA
AAACACACCUCUAAUAACACAUUGUUGCAUUAUUUUUAGGACAUUACAGGAAGCAACAGAUUUGCAAAACGUUGCAAUGCAAUUAUUUCAAAUGCCCUGCUGGACAAGCAUGGAGAGCUCAAUGUGUACCAAUGCAAAGGGCUUAUCGAUCACCUCAAGAAAUACAUUCUACCAUUUGCUGGAUUAUGGACCGGGAUAAUGCUAGGUGACCUUGGACGACAUGGGACAGGACCACAAUAUGAGCAGUGCUCCAGGAGAUACAAUGCCCUGAGAAACCUUACAAGACAAGUAAUUAUAUAGUUUGUACCAUAACAGUAAAUUGUGUCUGAACUCUUAUUUUGUUGUACUGCUAAAUUAUGUCAGGAAUUCACCUGUCUUUGUAUCCUUUGUCAGAACAUUACACAGGACAAUAAAACUCAAGGAAUAAUGGAAAAGAGCCAGUGGUACUUAAAACAUAUUCGUUUUACUUCUGGCUGGCUCACCAGGCUUGAUGACUUUGUAGCCCAGUAUCAGAUUAGCCACACUGCACUCCUGAAGGAGUAUAAAGACUCCGAAAGGGUUUUCCGAAGGAAGGUUCGAAUAUUUUAAGAAACGUGUCAUUAAAGAUGUGAGGGGUAUUAGUUUUUUAAGGAAAAGACUAUAUUAGGAGAAUUACAUGUAGUUUCUCAUUCCAUUCUAUGCUUUGAUAUGUAAACCAGAUCUACAAAUCCCUUACUUUAUGUAGACUUACAGAAAAAGAGUAGAACAAGAAAGAUGGAAAGAAAAGCAACAGAAAAAACGGGGAAGAUAUGUCACACCAAGCAAGCCUUUCCUUUUCAAGACAUCAAACAAGAAGUCUUCAGUGUCUGAGGGUCCCGUUGCUAAACAAAGCUCGCCACCACAGCCAAGGUCAUCCCUGGAGGGGGACCAUGAAGACAUUGUGGAUGAAAAGGCUGUACAUGGGGAGAUCUCAAACAAACCUAAGGCAACAGUAAAGACAACAGCAACCCAACAGCAUCAUCUCACCUCUUUGUGGAAAAGGAGAGACACUGAGUUUGUGGUUUCUGUGAUCCCUACACAAACCAAAGGAACAUCAAUUGUCAUUCGUCACAGUGAGCUGCGUACACUUCAGCCACACCAGUGGCUAACUGGCGAGAUAAUUGAAGCCCUGUUUCAUAUUGCUGCCAAUGAGCUAGAGAUGGGGAAUUCCAUUUACAUUCUUGAUCACUACACAGCAGGUGUGAUUCUGUUUGGGGAAAGACCUCAGCUUGCCCGGCAAAGUUUGUCAAAGAUUAACUUUGACAAUUACCAGGGAAUUGUUUCUUUUGUGAACACUGACAAUGUCCAUUGGAAGUUUCUGUGCAUAAAUGCGGUCAACCACACUGUGUACCUGGCAGAUCCUUCAAAAAGUUCUACAGAGGAAGAUGACUCAAUUCAUGCUGCCAAAAAAUUCAGGUAUUCUUUGUGUAACUCAUUCUCACAUCCUUAAGCCACAUUCUAUGGCUACAUGCAUGCAGUUGCACAGAAUUUUCUAUAUUUAUUUACCUCCCCACUAACAAAGGGCCCACCUCAUUCCAUUUCAGCAGAUUUUUGUUUUUAAUGACUUUAUCUACUGUGAUUACACAUUUAAAGGUUUUGCUUUGGGGUGCAUAACUGUCACGGCAUAGAAUGUGUACAAGGUGUUGACAUUGCUGGGACAUUACUCAUCAUCUUGAGAUACAACUUAGAUACAACUUUAUUUUCAUUAAACAUUACAAGUACUCAGCAACAAAAUGAAAUUUAGCAUCUUGUGGUUCUUUAUAGCCUAUGGGU